rnacentral:rRNA from 1 species
UACGUAGGGUGCAAGCGUUGUCCGGAAUUAUUGGGCGUAAAGAGCUACGUAGGCGGUCUGUCGCGUCUGCUGUGAAAACUCAGGGCUUAACCCUGAGCUUGCAGUGGGGUACGGGCAGACUAGAGUGCGGGUAGGGGAGACUGGAAUUCCUGGGUGUAGCGGUGAAAUGCGCAGAUGUCAGGAGGAACACCCGGUGGCGAAGGCG